rnacentral:rRNA from 1 species
GAUGAACGCUGGCGGUAUGCCUAACACAUGCAAGUCGAACGAUGUCUUCGGACAUAGUGGCGGACGGGUGAGUAACGCGUGAGAAUCUGCCUCUAGGAUGGGGAUAACGGUUGGAAACGACCGCUAACACCCAAUAUGCCGUAAGGUGAAAAAUUUAUUGCCUGGAGAGGAGCUCGCGUCUGAUUAGCUAGUUGGUGGGGUAAGAGCUCACCAAGGCCUCGAUCAGUAGCUGGUCUGAGAGGAUGAGCAGCCACACUGGGACUGAGACACGGCCCAGACUCCUACGGGAGGCAGCAGUGGGGAAUUUUCCGCAAUGGGCGAAAGCCUGACGGAGCAAUACCGCGUGAGGGAGGAAUGCCUUUGGGUUGUAAACCUCUUUUCUCAGGGAAGAAGAUCUGACGG